UACAGAGGUCCCAAGCGUUGUUCGGAUUCACUGGGCGUAAAGGGUGCGCAGGUGGGUUUGCAAGUUCGAUGUGAAAGCCCCGGGCUUAACCUGGGAACUGCAUUGGAAACUGGCAAGCUCGAGUAUGGCAGAGGGGGGUGGAAUUCCGGGUGUAGCGGUGGAAUGCGUAGAGAUCCGGAGGAAGACCGGUGGCGAAGGCGGUCUGCUGGGCAGUUUCUGACACUGAUGCGCGACAGCGUGGGGAGCAAACAGG
rnacentral:rRNA from 1 species